rnacentral:rRNA from 1 species
AUUGAACGCUGGCGGCAGGCCUAACACAUGCAAGUCGAACGAGUGGCGGACGGGUGAGUAAUGUCUGGGACACUGCCUGAUGGAGGGGGUUAACUACUGGAAACGGUAGCUAAUCCCGCAUACCAUCGGAUGUGCCCAGAUGGGAUUAGCUAGUUGGUGGGGUAACGGCUCACCAAGGCGACGAUCCCUAGCUGGUCUGAGAGGAUGACCGGCCAAACUGGAACAGAGACACGGUCCAGACGCCCACGGGAGGCAGCAGUGGGGAAUAUUGCACAAUGGGAGAAAGCCUGAUGCAGCGAUGCCGCGUGUAUGAAGAAGGCCUUCGGGUUGUAAAGUACUUUAAGCGGGGAGGCGUUACUCGCAGAAGAAGCACCGGCUAACUCCGUGCCAGCAGCCGCGGUAAUAC